rnacentral:lncRNA from 1 species
AAAUCAAGUAAAACAAGUUUAAAUGAUAAAAAUAAUCAAGCGUCCUGGAUAUCUCAAAGCUUCAAUUUAUCAAAAUAAAUAAAAAAUUAAUUAUAUUAUAUUUAUCAAUCAAUACUAAUUCUACAAAGUAAACGCCCAUAAAGUUGAUAAAGCAUUAAUCCUAUGUUACAAUCUAAUAAGAUUGAGAUGUUCUGACCUACAAAAAAAAAAAAAAAAGAAAAAAGAAAAGAAGCAAGAAACUACUAACAUGUUCUGAUUUUAAUAGACGGGAAUCUGCAUUAGGUCAUCAUAAU